rnacentral:pre_miRNA from 1 species
AAUGAAGCAAACUCUGGAUUUCCGUGUCCAACUUUGACUGUCCGUCUUAUAUGAAUUUAUUUUAUAAUUUGUAUUUUUAUUGUUGUUAGAUGAUAAAACAUGAUUAAUAUUUUAUACGUGACUUGUCUUUUUAAUUUUUUUCAUAUUUUUUUCAAAUAGGACGGACGGUCAAACGUUGGACACGGAAACCAGGGUCUGUCUUUCUU